UGGGAGCAGGAGCCCCGGACCCCCAGGCUCUGAUGAUCGAAACUGCCUCCAGACGUCACCAGCGUCCCCGAGGAGAUGCCCACUCCUGGAGAACCAAGCUGGGGAUCCAUGGGGUGGAGGACCCCCUUGCCCAGGCCCAGGGCCUCCUGCAUCCACGCUCACAGGGGUCCCCCCAGCUGGCGUGUGACAUCCAGGGUCUAGGAGACGCUCACACUGUGGGCCAACCCCUCCCAACAGGAGAGGGUCACAGGGGACCUGCGGAGCUGGGGCUGAGGGAAGUCCUGAAUUUCAGAUGACUCACUCGAAAUGCAGACCCAACCUCCUGGCAGCACCUAGCAGACAGCUUGCACUC
ensembl:lncRNA